UACAGAAUCCCCGAGCGUUACCCGGAUUUACUGGGCGUAAAGGGCUUGUAGGCGGUCCGUUAAGUCUGGUGUGAAAUCUCCCGGCUCAACUGGGAGGGGUCAUCGGAUACUGGCGGACUAGAGGUGGGUAGAGGAAAGCAGAAUUCCUGGUGUAGCGGUGAAAUGCGUAGAUAUCAGGAGGAAUACCAGUGGCGAAGGCGGCUUUCUGGGCCUAUCCUGACGCUGAGGAGCGAAAGCGUGGGGAGCAAACCGG
rnacentral:rRNA from 1 species